rnacentral:snRNA from 1 species
GUGCUGUUUCAACAGCACAUAUACUAAAAUUGGAACCGUACAGAAAGAUUAGCAUGGACGCUGCGUAAUGAUGACAAAAAAAAAUGUGAAGUGUUCCAUAUUUAA